rnacentral:rRNA from 1 species
GGAUUGCCCUAGUAACGGCGAGUGAAGCGGCAACAGCUCAAAUUUGAAAUCUGGCGUCUUUGGCGUCCGAGUUGUAAUUUGCAGAGGGCGCUUUGGCAUUGGCAGCGGUCCAAGUUCCUUGGAACAGGACGUCACAGAGGGUGAGAAUCCCGUACGUGGUCGCUAGCCUUUACCGUGUAAAGCCCCUUCGACGAGUCGAGUUGUUUGGGAAUGCAGCUCUAAAUGGGAGGUAAAUUUCUUCUAAAGCUAAAUACUGGCCAGAGACCGAUAGCGCACAAGUAGAGUGAUCGAAAGAUGGAAAAGCACUUUGGAAAGAGAGUUAAAAAGCACGUGAAAUUGUUGAAAGGGAAGCGCUUGCAGCCAGACUUGCCUGUAGUUGCUCAUCCGGGUUUUUACCCGGUGCACUCUUCUAUAGGCAGGCCAGCAUCAGUUUGGGCGGUUGGAUAAAGGUCUCUGUCACGUACCUCCUCUCGGGGAGAACUUAUAGGGGAGACGUAAUGCAACCAGCCUGGACUGAGGUCCGCGCAUCUGCUAGGAUGCUGGCGUAAUGGCUGUAAGCGGCCCGUCUUGAAACACGGACCAAGGAGUCUAACAUCUAUGCGAGUGUUUGGGUGUCAAGCCCGAGCGCGUAAUGAAAGUGAACGGAGGUGGGAACCUUUCGGGGUGCACCAUCGACCGAUCCUGAUGUCUUCGGAUGGAUUUGAGUAAGAGCAUAGCUGUUGGGACCCGAAAGAUGGUGAACUAUGCUUGAAUAGGGUGAAGCCAGAGGAAACUCUGGUGGAGGCUCGCAGCGGUUCUGACGUGCAAAUCGAUCGUCAAAUUUGGGCAUAGGGGCGAAAGACUAAUCGAACUAUCUAGUAGCUGGUUCCUGCCGAAGUUUCCCUCAGGAUAGCAGUAACGUUUUCAGUUUUAUGAGGUAAAGCGAAUGAUUAGAGGCCUGGGGGUUGAAACAACCUUCACCUAUUCUCAAACUUUAAAUAUGUAAGAAGUCCUUGUUACUUAAUUGAACGUGGACAGUUGAAUGUAUCGUUACUAGUGGGCCAUUUUUGGUAAGCAGAACUGGCGAUGCGGGAUGAACCGAACGCGGGGUUAAGGUGCCAGAAUAUACGCUCAUCAGACACCACAAAAGGUGUUAGUUCAUCUAGACAGCAGGACGGUGGCCAUGGAAGUCGGAAUCCGCUAAGGAGUGUGUAACAACUCACCUGCCGAAUGAACUAGCCCUGAAAAUGGAUGGCGCUCAAGCGUAUUACCCAUACCCCGCCGCUGGGGCAAGAUUUAAGCCCCAGCGAGUAGGCAGGCGUGGAGGUCCGUGACGAAGCCUGG